rnacentral:tRNA from 1 species
GCCUUCGUGGUGUAGUGGGGUGGGCAGCACGCUCGACGCGUAACCCAGAGGUCCGUGGUUCGAUUCCCGACGAAGGCA